rnacentral:rRNA from 1 species
GACGAACGCUGGCGGCGUGCUUAACACAUGCAAGUCGAACGGAAAGGCCCUGCUUUUGUGGGGUGCUCGAGUGGCGAACGGGUGAGUAACACGUGAGUAACCUGCCCUUGACUUUGGGAUAACUUCAGGAAACUGGGGCUAAUACCGGAUAGGAGCUCCUGCUGCAUGGUGGGGGUUGGAAAGUUUCGGCGGUUGGGGAUGGACUCGCGGCUUAUCAGCUUGUUGGUGGGGUAGUGGCUUACCAAGGCUUUGACGGGUAGCCGGCCGGGGAGGGUGACCGGCCACAUUGGGACUGAGAUACGGCCCAGACUCCUACGGUAGGCAGCAGUGGGGAAUAUUGCACAAUGGGCGGAAGCCUGAUGCAGCAACGCCGCGUGCGGGAUGACGGCCUUCGGGUUGUAAACCGCUUUCGCCUGUGACGAAGCGUGAGUGACGGUAAUGGGUAAAGAAGCACCGGCUAACUACGUG